CGUCGACCGGCGCACGGGUGAGUAACGCGUAUCCAACCUGCCCACCACUUGGGGAUAACCUUGCGAAAGUAAGACUAAUACCCAAUGAUAUCUCUAGAAGACAUCUGAAAGAGAUUAAAGAUUUAUCGGUGAUGGAUGGGGAUGCGUCUGAUUAGCUUGUUGGCGGGGUAACGGCCCACCAAGGCAACGAUCAGUAGGGGUUCUGAGAGGAAGGUCCCCCACAUUGGAACUGAGACACGGUCCAAACUCCUACGGGAGGCAGCAGUGAGGAAUAUUGGUCAAUGGACGAGAGUCUGAACCAGCCAAGUAGCGUGCAGGAUGACGGCCCUAUGGGUUGUAAACUGCUUUUAUAAGGGAAUAAAGUGAGUCUCGUGAGACUUUUUGCAUGUACCUUAUGAAUAAGGACCGGCUAAUUCCGUGCCAGCAGCCGCGGUAAUACGGAAGGUCCGGGCGUUAUCCGGAUUUAUUGGGUUUAAAGGGAGCGUAGGCCGGAGAUUAAGCGUGUUGUGAAAUGUAGACGCUCAACGUCUGCACUGCAGCGCGAACUGGUUUCCUUGAGUACGCACAAAGUGGGCGGAAUUCGUGGUGUAGCGGUGAAAUGCUUAGAUAUCACGAAGAACUCCGAUUGCGAAGGCAGC
rnacentral:rRNA from 1 species